GGCCUGAUGGUCUAGUAGCAUGAUUCCUGCUUCGGGUUUCCCGGAACUUCGAGUUCUCGCAUGCAGGAGGUCCCGGGUUCAAUUCCCGGUUAGGCCC
rfam:Punctularia strigosozonata HHB-11173 SS5 unplaced genomic scaffold PTNSTscaffold_3, whole genome shotgun sequence.